rnacentral:rRNA from 1 species
UUGAACGCUGGCGGCAUGCCUUACACAUGCAAGUCGAACGGUAGAGGGGCAACCCUUGAGAGUGGCGAACGGGUGAGUAAUAUAUCGGAACGUGCCCAGUCGUGGGGGAUAACGCAGCGAAAGCUGCGCUAAUACCGCAUACGAUCUAUGGAUGAAAGCGGGGGAUCGCAAGACCUCGCGCGAUUGGAGCGGCCGAUAUCAGAUUAGGUAGUUGGUGGGGUAAAAGCCC